rnacentral:lncRNA from 1 species
GCCUGCUCUCCCAAAUCCUCCACGCUCUUCAUGAACACCUCCAUCUUCUUCCUGAUCUCCUCAAUCCCAAGUUUCACUGCCCCCACGUCCUUGAUGGCGAAUUCAGAAUCGUCCAGCAGCGAGGUAAUCCCCAUUUCCAGCUUGUCGAUGAGCACCCGAAUGCUAUCCAUGUCCUUUAUGGCGAUAAAGGUUCCUACUUGCAUCGAGCUCAGCACCUCCUUCUGCCCUUUCAAGGCGUUCUGGUAGUCGUUCAGCAACGAGUCGAUCCAUUUCCCCAUCGACCCGAUCGGGAUCGACGCCGCCGCAGCCAGCGCCGCAGCCACUGGCGGUGCAGCUACUGCGGCUGCCACCACGGAG